UACGAAGGGGGCUAGCGUUGUUUGGAAUUACUGGGCGUAAAGGGCGCGUAGGCGGUGUGUCAAGUCAGGCGUGAAAGCCCCGGGCUCAACCUGGGAACCGCGCUUGAGACUGGCACGCUCGAGUUCGGGAGAGGAUGGUGGAAUUCCCAGUGUAGAGGUGAAAUUCGUAGAUAUUGGGAAGAACACCGAUGGCGAAGGCAGCCAUCUGGACCGACACUGACGCUGAGGCGCGAAAGCGUGGGGAGCAAACAGG
rnacentral:rRNA from 1 species